GAGAGCUUGGGGUGCCUUCGGGCCCCCAGACCUCCCAACCCUGUGUGAACGUACCCUUAGUUGCUUUGGCGGGGCGCGGCUAGUAAUGGCCCCGCUGGCCCCCUCCCCGGGGCCGGUGAGCCCCCGCCAGAGGACCAUAAAAUUCUUGCAUAUAAAACGAUGAAGUCUGAACUUUUUCUAUUUGAAAUAGCGAAAAACUUUCAACAACGGAUCUCUUGGUUCU
rnacentral:misc_RNA from 1 species